rnacentral:rRNA from 1 species
UCGCAUGGUGGGGGGUGGAAAGCUUUAUUGUGGUUUUGGAUGGACUCGCGGCCUAUCAGCUUAUUGGUGAGGUAAUGGCUUACCAAGGCGACGACGGGUAGCCGGCCUGAGAGGGUGACCGGCCACACUGGGACUGAGACACGGCCCAGACUCCUACGGGAGGCAGCAGUGGGGAAUAUUGCACAAUGGGCGAAAGCCUGAUGCAGCGACGCCGCGUGAGGGAUGACGGCCUUCGGGUUGUAAACCUCUUUCAGUAGGGAAGAAGCGAAAGUGACGGUACCUGCAGAAGAAGCGCCGGCUAACUACGUGCCAGCAGCCGCGGUAAUACGUAGGGCGCAAGCGUUAUCCGGAAUUAUUGGGCGUAAAGAGCUCGUAGGCGGUUUGUCGCGUCUGCCGUGAAAGUCCGGGGCUCAACUCCGGAUCUGCGGUGGGUACGGGCAGACUAGAGUGAUGUAGGGGAGACUGGAAUUCCUGGUGUAGCGGUGAAAUGCGCAGAUAUCAGGAGGAACACCGAUGGCGAAGGCAGGUCUCUGGGCAUUAACUGACGCUGAGGAGCGAAAGCAUGGGGAGCGAACAGGAUUAGAUACCCUGGUAGUCCAUGCCGUAAACGUUGGGCACUAGGUGUGGGGGACAUUCCACGUUUUCCGCGCCGUAGCUAACGCAUUAAGUGCCCCGCCUGGGGGAGUACGGCCGCAAGGCUAAAACUCAAAGGAAUUGACGGGGGGCCCGCACAAGCGGGCGGAGCAUGCGGGAUUAAUUUCGAUGCAACGCGGAAGAACCUUACCAAGGGUUUGACAUGG